UCUGUAUAGUACAAGCUUUGAUUGAUUUCAGAAGUCGAAAUUGGUGUAGGACAAUAUGGGUUGGAAAUCAGCACAGAAACUGAUUCAUCACUGGAAGAUUCUUAGAGGUGAUAAUGUCAUGAUAAUCAGGGGUAAAGAUAAAGGGAGACUGGUGUUGUUAAGCGUGUAGUUCGAUCUCAGAAUUAUGUAAUUGUUGAGGGCAAGAAUCUGGUGAAAAGCAUAUCAAGCAAGGGCAGGGUCAUGAAGGCGGGAUUUUCAGUGUAGAAGCCCCUCUUCAUGUCUCAAAUGUUCAGG